AUUGAACGCUGGCGGCAGGCCUAACACAUGCAAGUAGAGCGAGCGGCGGACGGGUGAGUAAUGUCUGGGUAACUGCCUGAUGGAGGGGGAUAACUACUGGAAACGGUAGCUAAUACCCCAUACCAUCAGAUGUGCCCAGAUGGGAUUAGCUGGUAGGUGGGGUAACGGCUCACCUAGGCGACGAUCCCUAGCUGGUCUGAGCGGAUGAGCAGCCACCCUGGAACUGAGACACGGUCCAGACUCCUGCGGUGGGCAGCAGUGGUGAAUAUUGCACAGUGGGCGCAAGCCUGAUGCAGCCAUGCCGGGUGUGUGAAGAAGGCCUUCGGGUUGUAGAGCACAUUCAGCGGGGAGGCGUUACCCACAGAAGAAGCACCGGCGAACUCCGUGCCAGCAGCCGCGGUAAUAC
rnacentral:rRNA from 1 species